rnacentral:rRNA from 1 species
AACGAACGCUGGCGGCAUGCCUAACACAUGCAAGUCGAACGAGACCUUCGGGUCUAGUGGCGCACGGGUGCGUAACGCGUGGGAACCUGCCCUUAGGUUCGGAAUAACUCCCCGAAAGGGGUGCUAAUACCGGAUAAUGUCUUCGGACCAAAGAUUUAUCGCCUUUGGAUGGGCCCGCGUUGGAUUAGCUAGUUGGUAGGGUAAAAGCCUACCACGGCGACGAUCCAUAGCUGGUCCGAGAGGAUGAUCAGCCACACUGGGACUGAGACACGGCCCAGACUCCUACGGGAGGCAGCAGUGGGGAAUAUUGGACAAUGGGCGAAAGCCUGAUCCAGCAAUGCCGCGUGAGUGAUGAAGGCCUUAGGGUUGUAAAGCUCUUUUACCCGGGAUGAUAAUGACAGUACCGGGAGAAUAAGCUCCGGCUAACUCCGUG